AUGAACGCUAGCGGCAGGCUUAAUACAUACAAGUCGUGGGGGCAGCAGGACGGUAGCAAUACCGUUGCUGGCGACCGGCAAACGGGUGCGUAACACGUACGCAACCUUCCUUCAGGCGGGGAAUAGCCCGGGGAAACCGGAUUAAUACCCCAUAAAAUCUUGGAAUGGCAUCAUUCUAUUAUUAAAGCUUCGGCACCUGAUGAUGGGCGUGCGGCUGAUUAGGUAGUUGGCGGGGUAACGGCCCACCAAGCCAGCGAUCAGUAGCUGAUGUGAGAGCAUGAUCAGCCACACGGGCACUGAGACACGGGCCCGACUCCUACGGGAGGCAGCAGUAAAGGAAUAUUGGUCAAUGGACGAAAGUCUGAACCAGCCAUGCCGCGUGGAGGAUGAAGGUCCUCUGGAUUGUAAACUUCUUUUAUUUGGGACGAAAAAGGGAAAUUCUUUUCCACUUGACGGUACCAGAUGAAUAAGCACCGGCUAACUCCGUGCCAGCAGCCGCGGUAAUACGGAGGGUGCAAGCGUUAUCCGGAUUCACUGGGUUUAAAGGGUGCGUAGGCGGAUAGGUAAGUCCGUGGUGAAAUCCUGCAGCUUAACUGCAGAACUGCCGUGGACACUAUCUAUCUUGAAUAUCGUGGAGGUUAGCAGAAUAUGUCAUGUAGCGGUGAAAUGCUUAGAUAUGACAUAGAAUACCCAUUGCGAAGGCAGCUAACUACGCGAUAAUUGACGCUGAUGCACGAAAGCGUGGGGAUCAAACAGGAUUAGAUACCCUGGUAGUCCACGCCCUAAACGAUGAUUACUCGACAUUAGCGAUACACAGUUAGUGUCUGAGCGAAAGCAUUAAGUAAUCCACCUGGGAAGUACGAUCGCCAAGAUUGAAACUCAAAGGAAUUGGCGGGGGUCCGCACAAGCGGUGGAGCAUGUGGUUUUAAUUCGAUGAUACGCGAGGACCUUACCUGGGCUAGAAUGCUGGUGGACUGUGGGUGAAAGCUCAUUUGUAGCAAUACACCGCCAGUAAGGUGCUGCAUGGCUGUCGUCAGCUCGUGCCGUGAGGUGUUGGGUUAAGUCCCCGCAACGAGCGCAACCCCUAUCACUAGUUGCCAUCAGGUAACGCUGGGAACUCUAGUGAAACUGCCGUCGUAAGACGUGAGGAAGGAGGGGGCAAUGAUGUCAAGUCAUCAUGGCCUUAUGCCCAGGGCUACACACGUGCUACAAUGGUUAACUACAAAGGGCUGCCACUUGGCGACAAGGAGCCUAUCCCAAAAAAGUUAUCUCAGUUCAGAUUGCAGUCUGCAACUCGACUGCAUGAAGCUGGAAUCGCUAGUAAUCGUAUAUCAGCAAUGAUACGGUGAAUACGUUCCCGGACCUUGCACACACCGCCCGUCAAGCCAUGGAAGCCGGGUGUACCUGAAGUCGGCAACCGCAAGGAGCUGCCUAGGGUAAAAUCGGUGACUGGGGCU
rnacentral:rRNA from 1 species